GGCUUCCGCUCGCGGACUUUGGCCCAGGCGCGCGGGCGCUGCCGAGAGGUUGGGAGCCCGGGAACCUGUUCCUGGACUUGAGCGGAGCGGGAAAGAGCGCGCCGCCUGCAGGACUAGACUGGAGCGGCCGGGUGCCCUGGAGGCCCCUGGGAAUUGCAGUCCUUACGCAGGUGGAGAGUGAGCCCUUAUGAGAAAACUCAAGACUCAGAAACAAUAAAGGUUACAGAGAUGAAAUUGACAGAGCCUGUAUUUCAGGUUAUGAUUCUGUAUGGUUUCUUUGGUGCUGCAUUAGACCUGAGCUCUGACUGAAAAUUCUUCCACGCUCACUACAUUCCAAAACUUUAUCUCCAAUAUGAAUUUCCAGAUGCCUCACAAGGUCUGAGCUCCAUCUGAAGGCUUUCCCAUGCUUGUCACAUUUAUAGGGCUUUUCUCCACUAUGAAUUCUAUGAUGUUGAAUAAGGUGUGAGCUCUGAU
rnacentral:antisense_RNA from 1 species